UACGUAGGGGGCUAGCGUUGUCCGGAAUCAUUGGGCGUAAAGCGCGUGUAGGCGGUCCGGUAAGUCCGCUGUGAAAGUCGGGGGCUCAACCCUGGAAUUGCCUUCAAUACUGGGCAUCUUGAGUACGGGAGAGGUGUGUGGAACUCCGAGUGUAGAGGUGAAAUUCGUAGAUAUUCGGAAGAACACCAGUGGCGAAGGCGACACACUGGCCCGUUACUGACGCUGAGGCGCGAAAGCGUGGGGAGCAAACAGG
rnacentral:rRNA from 1 species